GGACACAGUAGUGCUGACUUCUCAUUCUCUUAGGUUAGCUAUGGUUUGUGUGAGAAAUUAAAUAUCAAAAGAAGUUUGUGCUCGCCAUACCACCCACAAACCAAUGGUCUGGUGGAGAACCUGAAUGGGACGAUUCAAAGGUCCUUGAACAAAUUAGUGGCAGACCAUCCACAUAGAUGGGACGAGGUGCUGCAACCAACAAUGUUUGCCCUGCGGACCAAAUGACAUUUCACCACAAAACAUUCCCCAUAUUUUGUUUGAUGUUUGACAGGGAGGCCAGGUAUCCGUCGCAGAUACCAACACAAUAUGAGAUCACUUAUCAAAAGGAGGAGAGGCUAAUUUCACAGGAGGUUGUGAGCCGAGGCAUUUCUGAGCAGAAAAAAACCUACCGGGAAGUGUCCUCAAAUAUUCAAAAGAGUCAUGAAAAGGUUAGGCAGAGGAAAAGGCAACGAGGUAAGGAGGACUUUAAGGUGGGUGACCAAGUUCUUCUAAAGAACAUCAGGCAGGAGCAAAGGAAGGGUGGAAAAAUGGAGGCA